CAGUCGCCGCGGUAAUACGAAGGGGGCUAGCGUUGUUCGGAAUCACUGGGCGUAAAGCGCACGUAGGCGGAUUUUUAAGUCAGGGGUGAAAUCCCGAGGCUCAACCUCGGAACUGCCUUUGAUACUGGAGAUCUUGAGUUCGGAAGAGGUUGGUGGAACAGCUAGUGUAGAGGUGAAAUUCGUAGAUAUUAGCUAGAACACCAGUGGCGAAGGCGGCCAACUGGUCCGACACUGACGCUGAGGUGCGAAAGCGUGGGGAGCAGACAGGAUUAGAUACCCCUGUAGUCCCUGUCUCUUAUAC
rnacentral:rRNA from 1 species